rnacentral:lncRNA from 1 species
AUCUUGUUUUCAACAGAUGUUUUGUUCAUGAAUGAUCAAUCAACUAAGCAUAGAUGUAAACAUGGAUUUAACAAUUCUCACCAAGCAAGUGUUUCACUCAAUCACUCAAGUGUUUAGGAGGUCACUUUACUCUCUACUGUUCACAUGUCACAUAAAACAAUAUUGCCAUUUAUCAAAAACAACAACCCUUCGUCGGACCACUACUGAGCAACCACCGCGCCUCCGGAAGUCAACGCGAACUCCAGUCACCGCAGCCACAACAAUCACCACGCG